GACGAACGCUGGCGGCGUGCUUAACACAUGCAAGUCGAACGCUGAAGCCCUUUCGGGGGUGGAUGAGUGGCGAACGGGUGAGUAACACGUGGGUAAUCUGCCCUGUACUUCGGGAUAAGCCUUGGAAACGGGGUCUAAUACCGGAUAGGACCUGUCCUCGCAUGGGGGUGGGUGGAAAGUUCCGGCGGUAUGGGAUGAGCCCGCGGCCUAUCAGCUUGUUGGUGGGGUAGUGGCUUACCAAGGCGACGACGGGUAGUCGGCCUGAGAGGGUGGCCGGUGACCCUAGGACUGAGACAGGGCCCGGAGACCUGCGGGAGGCAGCAGGGGGGACACUUGCGAAAUGGGCGAAAGCCUGACGAAGCCACGGCGCGGGGGGGAUGACGGCCUUCGGGUUGUAGACCUCUUUCGAGAUCGACGAAGGGGCCCUGUUGUGGGGUUUUGACGGUAGGUGUAGAGGAAGCACCGGCUAACUACGUGCCAGCAGCCGCAGUAA
rnacentral:rRNA from 1 species